AUGCAAUAAUAGACUUGUGUUUUCGGAGAAUGCUGGGUUAUGCUUAGAAAAAAGUGAGAAGGCAUUGUUGUAAAAAGCCCUCUAAGAAAUAAUACUUAUGAAACUGAAGAAGGCAUCAUGUAUGUCCCCUCCAACGGCUCCCAGUGAUCUCCACCUCGUGUCUUCAUCCUCUGGCGUCAUCACGUCCAUUUAAAUGUGUGAUCAUCUUACUGAGUCUCUUCUUAGGAACAGACGUGACAGAAGUGAUGGGAUGUCCCUCCCCAAAUCAGAAAAGACUAUGGUUUCCAUCUUAAGUCGUCUCCGGAGCUGUGUCUUGGCUCAGCUGUUGCACACUGUGAGAACACGCAGACAGCCAGUGGUAGGGGUGGAUGUGGAUGAUCAGUCCCAGUAGGGCCCGGAGAAGCCUGCAGUCCCAAAUGAUGGCUUGACUACAACUUCAUGUAAUCUUCUCAUCAGCAUAGCCUUACCAGGAUGCUCACUAGGUGCUCCAUGUUUGAUUCACUGCAGGAGGAUGCACAAAUAUGCAAAUCUCCCUGCUAAAAGGAAAGGAAGAAGGAAAAUAGUUUCUGGAUUGGUCUGUGCUCC